GUGGGGAGCGAACAGGAUUAGGUACCCUGGUAGUCCACGCCGUAAACGGUGGGCGCUAGUUGUGCGAACCUUCCACGGUUUGUGCGACGCAGCUAACGCAUUAAGCGCCCCGCCUGGGGAGUACGAUCGCAAGAUUAAAACUCAAAGGAAUUGACGGGGCCCCGCACAAGCAGCGGAGCAUGCGGCUUAAUUCGACGCAACGCGAAGAACCUUACCAAGGCUUGACAUAUACAGGAAUAUGGCAGAGAUGUCAUAGCCGCAAGGUCUGUAUACAGGUGGUGCAUGGUUGUCGUCAGCUCGUGUCGUGAGAUGUUGGGUUAAGUCCCGCAACGAGCGCAACCCUCGUUCUGUGUUGCCAGCAUUUAGUUGGGGACUCACAGGAGACUGCCGGGGUUAACUCGGAGGAAGGUGGGGAUGACGUCAAAUCAUCAUGCCCCUUAUGUCUUGGGCUGCACGCAUGCUACAAUGGCUGGUACAAACGGCUGCGAUACCGCAAGGUGGAGCGAAUCCGAGAAAGCCAGUCUCAGUUCGGAUUGGGGUCUGCAACUCGACCCCAUGAAGUCGGAGUUGCUAGUAAUCGUAGAUCAGCAACGCUACGGUGAAUACGUUCCCGGGGCUUGUACACACCGCCCGUCACAUCACGAAAGUCGGUAACACCCAAAGUCAGUGGCCCAACCGCAAGGAGGGAGCUGCCAAAGGUGGGAUCGGUGAUUGGGAUG
rnacentral:rRNA from 1 species